AUCCAACCUGUUUACCCCAACUUUUAGAUUCCAAGUUUUUCGUUAUAAAUUUCUACUGAAGCUGUAUUAUUUAGUCUUAUCAGCAUAUCCUAGGGCGUUUACAUGACUGCACCAACCCUAUUUCCUACAUGGUCACUCAGGCAAGAUUUUUAUCCACAAUCCCUGUGAAUUUACCCAUGAUGCACCAGUCCUGUCUGAAAUAGCUCAGAGUGGAGUGUGCUCAGUGAUGACCCACAGUGGAGCCCACACAGCUCAUGUUCCUGCAGCUGGAGAGGCCUUUCAUCUGCUCCAUGGUCUCAGGACACGCACCUGCAAUUUAGAGAUAAAAAAGGAAACCUGUCAUACUUGGUGUCUUGGUGUUCAUCGACAGGGACAAGGAGUGAUGUGACCCAUACUGGACAAAGUAGUAACUUCUAGGAUCUCUGACAUAUGGAAGUCAUCUUACAGAAAAUGGCAUGGACACUGUGAACUUCACCAAGACAUUCAAAACGCUUCAUAUGAAAAGCAGCAUGUGUCUGGCUUUGGCUUUGGUCCAUCUCGUGUUCAGAGUGUCUCCUGCAGCUGAUCUCAAACCUCCACAGAUGACUGCAGCCAACUGAGUCCACUGUGUCAGGUUCAUGACACGUGCCAACGCUCUGUGAUGAAUGAUGGAUGGCUCUAGUAUCUGCUGGAAAUAUCAACUCAAGUACAUGUUUCCCAAAGAAAUUAACAUGUUCCACAAAUACUAACCAAAAAAAAAAUGUAAAUAUGUUGCCAUUAGAAUACUAUUUUAACUAUGUUUUUUAAUAUUCUAAUCUAACUUUUUAUGUAAAUGUAAAUUUGGCAAACCACUGAAAACAGCCUUUAUUAGAUCAGUUGUAGUCUCAUCUUCAGGCCUGGGUGCAGACCAAACUGACUGUACCUCGUCCCACUCCAUAUACAUUUCUUGUUGGUGUGAAGCUUUAAAAUAAUAAAAACAUUGCCGUACUCAUAGUAUCACAUUUAUCAUAUUUAUCUGUGAUGUUCUUAUUGCCAUAUACUCAGACAAUAGAGUAUCAUAUGAAUAUUUAAAAACUGUUAAAUCCACAGUGACGCCUCUUAAAACAUGAAUUAUUAAUAGUUAGUUGUACUAAAAGGGGUAGAGUCUGUAAGUGAUCUCUGCCAAUAGAUGUCAGAGAUAGAGGGAAUCAAUGUUAGAGGUUUAAGCUUAUAUAAAUAUUUACAGUCAACACACUGGACAAUGUUGGUUCUACUGUUAUUUCCUAUGAACC